GUUAGUAUACAAUAAAUUUUUGCCUGUCGAGAUGCCCGUUAUCGUGAAGAUAUAUUCUUCAGUCUUUCCAUGUUAUUACUUGACCAUCCAUAUAUGUACACACAAGUGUUCUGUAUACGAAACUAGAAAUUGUUUUAAAAUGGUUGCUCCUAAAGUCAGCUUUCCAGAGGAUGAUUUUGGAAAACGAUUAGAUCGAUGUUGCACCGAUGUGUUAAUAAAGGGAUCAACCGGUUUAUUUGUGGGUGUCACUUUUUCACUUUUGAUGCUGAAAAGAAAAUCUUGGCCUUUAUUAAUUGGAUCGGGAUUUGGUGUGGGCGUAGCUUUUAAGACAUGCGAAAAGCAUUUAAAUGUGUAAAAUGUGUGUAAAUUAACUUGUUUAAAAGAAAUGAUAAUAAACUGAUUAUUGGAGGUAAAA